AUUGAACGCUGGCGGCAUGCUUUACACAUGCAAGUCGAACGGUAACAGGUUAAGCUGACGAGUGGCGAACGGGUGAGUAAUGCAUCGGAACGUGCCCGAUCGUGGGGGAUAACGCAGCGAAAGCUGCGCUAAUACCGCAUACGAUCUGAGGAUGAAAGCGGGGGACCGUAAGGCCUCGCGCGAUCGGAGCGGCCGAUGUCAGAUUAGGUAGUUGGUGGGGUAAAGGCUCACCAAGCCAACGAUCUGUAGCGGGUCUGAGAGGACGACCAGCCACACGGGGACUGAGACCCGGCCCAGACGCCUACGGGAGUCAGCAGUGGGGAAUUUUGGACAAUGGGCGAAAGCCUGAUCCAGCAAUGCCGCGUGCAGGAAGAAGGCCUUCGGGUUGUAAACUGCUUUUGUACGGAGCGAAAAGGCCCUCUCUAAUACAGGGGGUUUAUGACGGUACCGUAAGAAUAAGCACCGGCUAACUACGUGCCAGCCGCCGCCGUAACAC
rnacentral:rRNA from 1 species